AGGAGGUACCAGUGGGUGAGGGCCUGAGGAAUGGCUUCUGUUUAUAACACACCCAAGAAGAAUGUGGGGCCACCAUAAUGAGGGGCACAGCACUGCGUCCUCCCUGAGCAGACCCCUACAUGU
ensembl:snoRNA